GUCUAGGGCCAUGCUACCGUGAACAAACCCGAUCCAGUCUGAUCUCGGAAGCUAAGUAGGGUUGGGCCUGGUUAGUACUUGAAUGGGAGACCACCUAGGAAGACUAGGUGCUGUAGGUG
rnacentral:rRNA from 1 species